rnacentral:rRNA from 1 species
GACGAACGCUGGCGGCGUGCCUAAUACAUGCAAGUCGAACGCAGUGGGGACGGGUGAGUAACACGUGGGUAACCUCCCAUCAGAGGGGAUAACACUUGGAAACAGGUGCUAAACCGAUACUGAUGGAUGGACCCGCGGUGCAUUAGCUAGUUGGUGAGGUAACGGCUCACCAAGGCCACGAUGCAUAGCCGGACUGGGAGGGUGGUCGGCCACACUGGGACUGAGACACGGGCCAGACUCCUAAGGGAGGGAGGAGGAGGGAAGUUUCGGGAAUGGACGAAAGUCUGACCCAGCAACGCCGGGUGAGGGAAGAAGGUUGUCGGAUCGUAAAACUCUGUUGUUAGGGAAGCGGUAACUAACCAGAAAGCCACGGCUAACUACGUGCCAGCAGCCGCGGGAAUUC